AAACUAAGGCUAAUUCCAUUAACUCUUCCCUACUCUUUUCUUUUGAUAAGAGAGUUUUUAAAACCAGUGUUAUUUAUGUAAGUUUAAGAGAAGUUUAUGUAUUAAAUUAUUGAUAUUAAAUAGUUUUAUUAGGCUUAGACUUAAUUUUAGGUCAUUUUGGGGGUUUAGCUCAGUUGGCUAGAGCAUCGGCUUUGCAAGCCGAGGGUCAAGGGUUCGAGUCCCUUAACCUCCAUUGGGCUUAUGCCCUAAAUUGUAAUUAAGUAUGUUUUUAAGUAACUUUGUUAAAGUAAUUGUUGGAAUGUGAAACACAAGAAGUUAAAAUUUCUGGGUUAAGUUGAGAUCUGUUGAUAUUAAGAAAAAUGUCUAGAAGCAAAAGCAAGCUUUCGAUAAAACCCGAAGUUGUUUCGCUAAAGUGCAAGGAUUAAACAGGAUUGUAUUUUUCAGCAGCCUAUUUUAUAAACGAUCUGCAUUUAGUAAAUAGUUUUUAGUUAGGAAAUAAUGUAGAUUACUAAGUGUGAUGUCUGAGAGAAGGACAAGUAUUGUAGCGAGCUUAAAUCCUUAUUAUCGUUGCCAGUAUUUAGUGGUAGGGAUUCGGAUAAGAUUGCCAGUUAUAAGUUGGAGGAAGGCAAAGAUUGCAUUAAAUCGUUAUCGCUCUUAUGUUUUAGGUUACAAGUUUGCAACAAUAACUCAAAAAAGCCAAGCAAAAUACCAUAAAGCAGAUUUCAGUUUGGAUUUGCCCGAC
rnacentral:misc_RNA from 1 species